rfam:Microgenomates (Collierbacteria) bacterium GW2011_GWF1_44_12 TW26_C0017, whole genome shotgun sequence.
GCCGGAGUAACUCAGUUGGUAGAGUAGCGGUAUCGUAAACCGCAAGUCGUGGGUUCGACUCCCCCCUCCGGCU